rnacentral:rRNA from 1 species
GACGAACCGUGCGAACGUUGUUCGGAAUCACUGGGCUUAAAGGGCGCGUAGGCGGGCACCCAAGUCGGGGGUGAAAUCUUUCGGCUCAACCGGGAAAGGGCCCCCGAUACUGGAUGCCUCGAGGGGGGUAGGGGCGUGCGGAACUUCCGGUGGAGCGGUGAAAUGCGUAGAGAUCUGGAAGAACACCAAUGGCGAAGGCAGCAUCCUGGGAAGACCCUGACGCUAAUGUGCGAAAGCUAGGGGAGCGAACGGG